rnacentral:lncRNA from 1 species
CUGCCUUGAAGCAUUGUAAUGUUAAUAUUAUAUUAUUGUUUGUAUUUUUCUGUCGCCUUGCAAUGGUGAGUAUUGUUUAUUCAUUUUUUUAUGUGAUUUUCUAAAAUUUUGACAUAGAAUGCUAAUCAUGAUUUUUAUAUUUUCUUAAAUAGGCUCGAUAUCAUGGUGAAUAUCAAAAAGAAGGUUGUUGAUGAUUCCAAAGCUCCACGUAAAAAGAGAUUAGUACGAAAAAACUACACGCGGACAACUUAAAGUAGCCAACACAUUUCAACAACAUUUUAACUCUCUGGAUGCUCCUACUAGGUCUUUCUACAGCAUGAAUAUGCGUAAGGAUCUCAUGAAAAAUUAUUAUUCACUUGUUGAUUUACCAAAAAACUGUGCAAUGAGAUCCAUCACUAACACAUUUAUAGAUGAGGCAUCACAUGAGGUUACCCCAGAAGAUGAUGUAGACAUGAGUGGUAAUGAAAGCCAAAGAACACAUGUGGAAGAUACGAGUCUAUUGCAACAAAAUGUUAUACAUUCUGAAGGAGAGAUUCAACAAGUCCAAAAGAAGAAGAGAGACCCUACCCAAAUGAAGAAUUUGAAUGAAGUCAUUGCUUCAAUUGAAGUAAAGUUUAAUGAAAUGGGACAUUCGCUAUCUGUCACUUUAUCUCUUUUUCUGGGCCGUCUUGUAAGGGAGACUGUACUGUAUACUCUUGUUGACUGGUAAUACCUUUCAGAUGAUAUGAAACUUGUUAUGUGGAAAGAUAUUCAGGUACAU